rnacentral:rRNA from 1 species
AGCAGCCGCGGUAAUUCCAGCUCCAAUAGCGUAUAUUAAAGUUGUUGCAGUUAAAAAGCUCGUAGUUGAAUUUCGGGGUUCUACCGUUGGUCGGGCUAACCAGUCUGUACUAGCGUGUAGAAUUCCUACCUUCUGGGGAACCAUCAUGUUAUUAAUUUAGCGUGGUGGGAAACCAGGACCUUUACCUUGAAAAAAUUAGAGUGUUCAAAGCAGGCUUACGUCUGAAUACAUUAGCAUGGAAUAAUAGAAUAGGACGGUGGUCCUGUUUUGUUGGUUUCUGAAUCACCGUAAUGAUUAAUAGGGAUAGUUGGGGGCAUUAGUAUUCAAUUGUCAGAGGUGAAAUUCUUGGAUUUAUUGAAGACUAACUUCUGCGAAAGCAUUUGCCAAGGAUGUUUUCAUUAAUCAAGAACGAAAGUUAGGGGAUCGAAGACGAUCAGAUACCGUCGUAGUCUUAACCAUAAACUAUGCCGACUAGGGAUCGGACGAUGUUAAAUUUAUUGACUCGUUCGGCGCCUUACGG